rnacentral:rRNA from 1 species
UACGUAGGGGGCGAGCGUUGUCCGGAUUCAUUGGGCGUAAAGAGCUCGUAGGCGGCUUGUCAAGUCGGGUGUGAAACCUCCAGGCUCAACCUGGGGAAGUGCCUCGGAUACUGGCGGACUUGAGGGAGGCAGGGGUUGUGGGAACUUCCGGUGGAGCGGUGAAAUGCGUAGAUAUCGGAAGGAACGCCGGUGGCGAAAGCGAUCGACUGGACCUUUUCUGACGCUGAGGCGCGAAAGCCAGGGGAGCAAACGGG